UGACCUCUCUGAGUGCAGUGAAUCUGUCGGGAUUAGCCUCCAAUCGGCAGUCUGAUCGCACACAGCUCACGCACUCACAGAUGGCUUUAGUCUGCAAACACUAGGAAACUAACGGUGUUUAUAGUAUCCUUGUCACGAUGGGCUCCAUGGAUGAAGAGCUGACCUGUUCUGUGUGCCGAGACACCUUCAGCCAAUCCCAGCCCCUGCCCUGUGGUCACAGCUUCUGUCCUGCCUGUGUCCGGGAGGCCUGGAGCAGCCAGGGUGAAGGAAAAGGUCGCUUCACCUGUCCCCAGUGUCAGGAGGAGCACGGUGAAGUGCUGUGCGACUGCUGCCCUCCCGAGGCAGAGAAAGGACAACCGCCGUUGGCAGUUAAGACCUGCCUGAGGUGUGAAGUGUCGCUGUGUGCCGAACAUCUCCGGCCUCAUCUUGAGAGACCGGUGUUUAGCACCCACCUUUUGGUGGAUCCGCUGGGCGAUCUGUCCCAGCGAAGGUGCCCUGCGCACACAGAGCUGUUCCGCUACUACUGUGCUGACGAGAGAGUGUACGUGUGUGGCGACUGUCUGCUGGAAGGAGGCCACGCUCAGCACAAAGUGAAAGCACUGAGGCACGUGGAGGACGAUCUGAAGGUCAUUCUUCAGACACUGCUUAUAAAAGCAGAGGAAAAACUGAAAGAUGGAGAGCGAAUCCUCAAAGAGCAUGAGAACAUCGAUUCCACCAUGGCAGACUCUCUGAGGCAGGACGAUGCCCAGGUGGAGCAGCUGGGCUCAGACCUGCAGGUCCAGGUCAACAAGCUAGUGGUGGCACUGAGAGACAUCACCAAGAGGGAGAGGCGGCAGGUCAUGGAUCGUGUCCAUGAAGACUGCUUCAAAGUGAGGGACCACAUGCACCAGACCCUAAGAAUCCAGCACUAUCUGGCCUUAUUGCUGUCAGAGACAGAUCCUUUCCUGCUCAUCUGGGUGAGUGCAGCAUUAGGUUUUUCGAGAACUAGGUCAUGCAAACGAAACUAAAUUAUGGCUUAAGACAGGAUGCACCAGUUUCCAGUAACGAUCCAGUCCAAUCUCUGAUUGGGAGAUUAACUGUUGUGCGACCGCAGAAUAUGCUGCAAUACUGUACAUAUAUUCACAGUGGCCGGAGAGUGAAGCUUCACAGCAGAUCACACAUUUGGCAUGGCUACAUAUUAGGGGAAUUUGAAAAUGCGAAAAUGUAGAAAUGUAGGAAUUUAUAGAAAAACUCUACCUGAGCGCAUUCACACAGACAGCUGCUUUUCAUUCUGUUGGUGCAUUUUUCUCAGCUGUCCUUGACUUUUCUUUUCGCAGGCCUUUCAGUCAGAUGACACAAAGUUAUUAGCUGAGCUGAACAGUCCACUUUACAUCCCUGAUCCCAUCAGCGCAGACAGGAAGCACAUUCUGGAGGACAUCGAGAGCAAGUACCGCGAGUUCAUCACUGCUACCCUCCGCUGUCUCA